rnacentral:rRNA from 1 species
GACGAACGCUGGCGGCGUGCCUAAUACAUGCAAGUAGAACGCACAGUUUAUACCGUAGCUUGCUACACCAUAGACUGUGAGUUGCGAACGGGUGAGUAACGCGUAGGUAACCUGCCUGGUAGCGGGGGAUAACUAUUGGAAACGAUAGCUAAUACCGCAUAAUAUUGAUUAUUGCAUGAUAAUUAAUUGAAAGGUGCAAUUGCACCACUACCAGAUGGACCUGCGUUGUAUUAGCUAGUAGGUGAGGUAACGGCUCACCUAGGCGACGAUACAUAGCCGACCUGAGAGGGUGAUCGGCCACACUGGGACUGAGACACGGCCCAGACUCCGACGGGAGGCAGCAGUAGGGAAUCUUCGGAAAUGGACGAAAGUCUGACCGAGCAACGCCGCGUGAGUGAAGAAGGUUUUCGGAUCGUAAAGCUCUGUUGUAAGAGAAGAACGGGUGUGAGAGUGGAAAGUUCACACUGUGACGGUAUCUUACCAGAAAGGGACGGCUAACUACGUG